AAGGAUAAGUAGAAGUCCACCAGAUAAAAAUAGGACCAGAUAAGUAUUGAUGGGCGAAAGACCAAAGGAUGCUGAGAGAAUGUGAUCCGUUGUGGGAACUGCUGAAGACAGAAUUUACAUUUGCAAGCAUAUAUGAGGGUCCAACUGGUGACUUUUGAAAAUAAGAAGCGAGAAGAGGAUGACCCGACGUCUAGACCUGUAGACAUUUCAGGUAAAUUGGUGACAUGAUGAGCGAUUACAACCAGACACCUGAGCAACAGCUGGAGUGUUUCUCUGAACUGGGUCUUCUUGGGAACCACCUGGAAGGAUGGGGAAGAACUUUAACUAUAGCUGGAUGGUUCUCUCUGGAUUGGAUCUGAGGUUUCUCCAAGGACUAGCACCAAGUGCUAAGAUUGUAGAUGAGCACCACUGCACCUAUCUUAUAUAUCCUGGGGAUCCAGCUCAGGGCUUUGUGCACGGUCGGUAGGUGCUGUGCUACUGAACCACAUCCUCAGCUUAUUAAGCCAUUAAUAAAAAAAUAAGU